GCCUUCAUGCUAUAAUGGCCAGCACGCUCGACUCAUAUUCGAGAGGUCCGUGGUUCGAGUCCUGGUGAGGACA
rnacentral:tRNA from 1 species